rnacentral:misc_RNA from 1 species
GAAAUGCGAUAAGUAGUGUGAAUUGCAGAAUUCCGUGAAUCAUCGAAUCUUUGAACGCACAUUGCGCCCGCUGGCAUUCCGGGGGGCAUGCCUGUCCGAGCGUCAUUACGCACCCUCAAGCCCGGCUUGUGUGAUGGGCCCUGGCGUCUCGUUCGCGAGACGGGCCCGAAAGGCAGCGGCGGCGUCGACCCGAUGAGCCCGAGCGUAUGGGGACUUUUGUCACACGUUUGCGGUGCGGACCGGCGCCUGCUUGACUUUUCUGAUUAUCCAGGUUGACCUCGGAUCAGGUAGGGAUACCCGCUGAACUUAAGC